rnacentral:rRNA from 1 species
AGCAGCCGCGGUAAUUCCAGCUCCAAUAGCGUAUAUUAAAGUUGUUGCAGUUAAAAAGCUCGUAGUUGAAUUUCGGGAUCAAUAUGUUGGUCGUGCCUCGGUACGUACUAGCUUAUUGGUUUCUCCUUUCUGAAGAACCAUGAUGUCAUUCAUUUGGUGUCGUGGGGAAUCAGGACUGUUACUUUGAAAAAUUAGAGUGUUUAAAGCAGGCUCACGCUUGAAUACAUUAGCAUGGAAUAAUGAAAUAGGACGUUUGAUUCUAUUUUGUUGGUUUCUAGGAUCGACGUAAUGAUUAAUAGGGAUAGUUGGGGGCAUUAGUAUUCAAUUGUCAGAGGUGAAAUUCUUGGAUUUAUUGAAGACUAACUACUGCGAAAGCAUUUGCCAAGGAUGUUUUCAUUAAUCAAGAACGAAAGUUAGGGGAUCGAAGACGAUCAGAUACCGUCGUAGUCUUAACCAUAAACUAAU